rnacentral:rRNA from 1 species
AUGAAAAUUUACAGCAACGUAGUAAACAUUUAUAUGCAGGGCACCGGCAACGACGACCACACCAUCCAGAUGCCUCCAGACCAGGUCCAGGAGUCCGCUAGCAUGGACCAACGGACGCAGCAGCUCGCCCGGGACAUAUGCAAGAUCAGCGUCCCGACCUUGGUCAUCGCUAUUGGAACGGCCUUGUACAAGUCGGCGAGCGGUGUUCUUUUCCUCCACCACCCGCUCGCAUAUUACUGUGGCCUCGCCGCCAUUUUUGUCGCAGGAGUUGGAGAAACUCUUGCUGCAUAUUGGUUGGCGUGCUCGCGUGACGCCAAUGGGCGCCAUUUCACCAUCGGCAAGGCUGUUUGGUGGGCUUCCAUUGUGCCGCUGAUCUUCGUACUUGGCAUAGGAGGCUGCCAUGUCAUCGUUGGCUACUAA